AUGGUUUCUCAGCCUUUUAGCUAUGACCAAGUGAAUUAACUUCUUAUCAGCUUACUAUUUGAUAAGUCUUCUAUCCAAGGAUGAUAUAUUAAACCAAUGACAGUGCACAUACA
rnacentral:snRNA from 1 species